UUAACUAUUAGAUAGUACUCAGACGACACUAACAUUCAGAGUUUUAGGUCCUCUGACACGCGCGAGCCAGCCGGAGCCGGUGCCCAGAGGGCGGCGUGCCAAAGCAACAAAGUGUAAUAAACAAAGGGUGGUAGGUUACCCAGGAGGCCUUGCGGCAACCUGGGUGACUACUGUAAUGAUCCUUCCGCAGGUUCACCUACGGAAA
rnacentral:misc_RNA from 1 species